GAGAACCUUUACAAAUAGAUCACUUGGUUUUUGUAGUCCAUGGGAUUGGACCAGCUUGUGAUCUCCGCUUUCGAAGCAUUGUACAGUGUGUUAAUGAUUUUCGCAGUGUUUCCUUGAACUUGCUACAGACACAUUUUAAGAAAGCCCAAGAAAAUCAGCAGAUUGGGAGGGUAGAAUUUCUUCCAGUCAACUGGCACAGUCCUUUGCAUUCUACUGGUGUGGAUGUAGAUCUGCAGCGAAUAACCCUGCCCAGCAUUAACCGCCUCAGGCACUUCACCAAUGACACAAUUCUGGAUGUCUUCUUCUACAAUAGUCCCACCUACUGUCAGACUAUUGUGGACACAGUUGCUUCUGAAAUGAACCGAAUAUACACACUUUUUCUACAGAGGAACCCUGAUUUCAAAGGGGGUGUAUCCAUUGCUGGUCAUAGUUUAGGUUCGCUUAUAUUGUUUGAUAUCCUAACAAAUCAGAAAGAUUCUUUGGGGGAUAUUGACAGUGAAAAGGGUAUUAAGAGACCAGCCCCGCAGCCUGCUUCAGGGGCAAACAUC
rnacentral:lncRNA from 1 species